AUUAGACUGACGCUUUGUCUCUGCAUACAGAAAUCCUGGGGUUGCAGUCACGUGUGGUCCACCAUCGAGAGGUUGGGUCCAGUAAGCACAGGAAGUGACCCCCGCGACAGGCUUUCUCUAUCAGGAAACACAUGUGAAUAGCAUCCCGACGUCAAGACCGACAGAUUGUGCGCAACCACCUGCAG